rnacentral:rRNA from 1 species
GACGAACGCUGGCGGCGUGCUUAACACAUGCAAGUCGAACGGAAAGGCCCUGCUUUUGUGGGGUGCUCGAGUGGCGAACGGGUGAGUAACACGUGAGUAACCUGCCCUUGACUUUGGGAUAACUUCAGGAAACUGGGGCUAAUACCGGAUAGGAGCUCCUGCUGCAUGGUGGGGGUUGGAAAGUUUCGGCGGUUGGGGAUGGACUCGCGGCUUAUCAGCUUGUUGGUGGGGUAGUGGCUUACUAAGGCUUUGACGGGUAGCCGGCCUGAGAGGGUGACCGGCCACAUUGGGACUGGAAUACGGCCCAGACUCCUACGGGAGGCAGCAGUGGGGAAUAUUGCACAAUGGGCGGAAGCCUGAUGCAGCAACGCCGCGUGCGGGAUGACGGCCUUCGGGUUGUAAACCGCUUUCGCCGGUGACGAAGCGUGAGUGAGGGUAAUGGGUAAAGAAGCACCGGCUAACUACGUG